rnacentral:rRNA from 1 species
ACAAGACCAACGCGAAGAACCUUACCCCACUUCGGGGGACAGAGUGACAGGUGGUGCAUGGUUGUCGUCAGCUCGUGUCGUGAGAUGUUGGGUUAAGUCCCGCAACGAGCGCAACCCUUAAGCUUAGUUGCCAUCAUUAAGUUGGGCACUCUAAGUUGACUGCCGGUGACAAACCGGAGGAAGGUGGGGAUGACGUCAAAUCAUCAUGCUCCUUAUGAUUUGGGCUACACACGUGCUACAAUGGACAAUACAAAGGGUAGCGAAACCGCGAGGUCAAGCAAAUCCCAUAAAGUUGUUCUCAGUUCGGAUUGUAGUCUGCAACUCGACUACAUGAAGCUGGAAUCGCUAGUAAUCGUAGAUCAGCAUGCUACGGUGAAUACGUUCCC